rnacentral:rRNA from 1 species
UACGUAGGUGGCAAGCGUUGUCCGGAUUACUGGGCGUAAAGAGCGCGCAGGCGGUCGUAUAAGUCGAAUGUGAAAGCCCCCGGCUCAACUGGGGAGGGUCAUUCGAUACUGUUCGACUCGAAGGCAGGAGAGGGAAGUGGAAUUCCGGGUGUAGUGGUGAAAUGCGUAGAUAUCCGGAGGAACACCAGUGGCGAAGGCGGCUCACUGGACCACAACUGACGCUGAGGCGCGAAAGCUAGGGGAGCAAACGGGAUUAAGAAA